rnacentral:rRNA from 1 species
AUGUCAUAUGGAGGUCGACUAGUUUUGAUUAACUCAGUAUUGACUAGCAUGCCAAUGUUUUUACUUUCGUUCUUCGAAAUUCCGAAAGGGGUCCGAAAGCGACUUGAUUUCUCUAGAUCUCGUUUCUUUUGGCAGUCUGAUGAGGCCAAGAGGAAAUACCGUCUCGCGCGAUGGGAUAUCCUUUGUCGACCUAAAGACCAAGGGGGCCUCGGUAUUGAGAACUUGAAGAUUAAGAAUAAAUGCCUUAUGAGCAAAUGGUUGUACAGGUUAGAGACAGAGCCGGAGGGCAUCUGGUCUCAAAUCCUGCGCAAUAAGUAUUUGCACUCGAAAACGCUAGCCCAGGUUACCAUCAGACCGACUGAUUCACUGUUUUGGAAGGGACUUAUGAGAACGAAGGAUAUGUUCAUUCGUAGGGUCAAAUUCUUGAUUGGCAACGGGAUGUCAACAAGAUUUUGGGAGGAUACGUGGCUAGGAGAGACACCUCUGGCCUUAGAAUAUCCUACCCUUUACAAUAUUGUGCAACGUAAGGAAGAUUACGUAGGUAUCGUCCUUCAAACUAUUCCCUUGAACAUCCAGUUCAGACGUACGUUAGUGGGUGAGAGAUGGACAGCCUGGAUGCACUUGGUUCGGAGAUUGAUUGAAGUUCGACUCUCCGACGUGCCGGACUCCACACAAUGGAAGUUAACUAAAAAUGGGAUAUUUACGGUGAAAUCGUUUUAUACGGAUCUGAUUAAUUCUAGCCCCAUCUCAAGGUCACUUCAUAUAUGGAUGGUUAAGGUUCCUUUGCGGAUUAAAAUUUUCAUGUGGUUUGUCCACAAGCAAGUAAUACUCACAAAGGACAACUUACUUAAGAGACGAUGGGUAGGUAACUCACGGUGUUGUUUUUGUGCUCAAGAUGAGACAAUACAACAUUUAUUUAUCGAAUGCCCACUUGCCAAGUUACUUUGGAGAACGAUUCAUAUAGCUUUUAAUAUCAAUCCCCUAGUAGAUAUUGCGUCUUUGUUUGGGACGUGGUUAGCUGGGGUUGAACAGAUCACGGCAGCUCGUAUUCGGAUUGGAAUAUGUGCGUUAUUAUGGGCUAUAUGGAACUGCAGAAAUGAUAUGAUUUUUACCAGACAACACAACUUAACUUUAUUGCAGGUUAUCUUCAGAGCUACAACUUGGAUCCGUACGUGGUCCUUACUCACUCCUAUGGACUCCAGGGAGCCUUUGGUUACUGGGUGCAACCAAUGGGAGAUGGUGGCUCGGGCUAUAUUCAACCGGUUCGGAUGGCAUUCGCAUAACAGGAUAGGAGUCUAG